UACGAAGGGGGCUAGCGUUGUUCGGAAUCACUGGGCGUAAAGCGCACGUAGGCGGAUCUUUAAGUCAGAGGUGAAAUCCCGAGGCUCAACCUCGGAACUGCCUUUGAUACUGGGGAUCUCGAGUCCGGGAGAGGUGAGUGGAACUGCGAGUGUAGAGGUGAAAUUCGUAGAUAUUAGGAAGAACACCGGUGGCGAAGGCGGCCCACUGGCUCGAUACUGACGCUGAGGUGCGAAAGCGUGGGGAGCAAACAGG
rnacentral:rRNA from 1 species